AAAGCUGUAAGCAAGCAGUUACAGAGCGCUCCAAGAUCCCAGAGGGAGAGGUAAAGUGUUCUUCUAGAGCUGCGUGUGUGGGAAGCCUUCACAGGGACUGACACUCAAGCAAGGUCAGAAGAGAAAGCAAAAAUUUAACAAGUCAGAGGUGGAAAGAGAGGCAUGACCAGAGAAGUUCUGGGAUCGCUGUGUUUGUCAAGGUUAGAACACAAGGGACCCACUAUAUUGCAGGCUCUGUCCCAGUCAUCAGGGAGACAGACGUGCACAAAGCAGAUGAGACACCUGCCCUCCUAAGACAUUACAAGGGGAUGAAGGCAACAGAUACAGGUUACUACGAGAUAUUGAAUAAAAUUUCCUGUGCUAUAUAGAA